rnacentral:misc_RNA from 1 species
GAGUAAACUGUGGUGAAAGUGCUGCAAAACAAAUUACAUAUAAUUCAUUAGUCAGAUAAACAUGAGGACACCGUUAUUGUUGUUAACAGAAGUGGACAGAAGAAACAUCGUUACCAAAAUACAAAUUUAGAAAACAGUAAAUUGCCCAAGUAAAUCAAUGUUACACGACACAAACAUUAACCCACAAAUUUAAUGAAAAUGCAUUAUGUGCAUAUAAAUAGAAUAAGUAUGGAAUGAGGAAUGUUUGAAAUUCACUAGAACACAUUUUAUUUCACGUCAUGAGGCACAAAACAUUAUGAAAUCAUAGAAGUUGCCAUACACAGAUCCAUGGAAUAUAUCAUUAGAAAAUUAAGACACCCAAGUUUAAUGGAGGAGACAAACAAAUGAUCAGCAAAGAUAAAACAUGGCCAGAUUUUUAGAAAAGGGAUAUGCAUAGGCAGUUCAGAUGGAGUAGGCAAGUUUAAGUUGAAUAACUUCAAAAGACUUGUUGACAAAACCCCAAACAUGGCAAAUAAUUUAUUGAGUGAGUUGAAAAGUUUGUAAGUUGAUGCGUGUUGAAGAAAAGAAAUAGUUAAAAAAAAUUUACCCACAUGCCAAAAGGAAGAAAACUUUAC